AGCGGGCAGCAGCACAACCAGAGAAAAAGGAGAAGCAACAGGGCAGGCAGCAGCGUCUCCUCCCCCAGCAGCACAACCAGAGAAAAAGGAGAAGCGACAGGGCGGGCAGCAGCGUCUCGUUCCCCCGCCCUCAUCCCUAUAGCCGCCGCCGGGUCCUCUCCUCUCCCUAUCGGUGUGAGUGGGCGGGUCGCGGCUUGCGGAGACUGAGGAGAGGGAGGAGACAGAUGCGUGAGGAGGAGGAGGAGGCCACGGCCGUCGGCUCCUCUCCUCUCCCCGUCGGCGCCAGCGCGUUGGUCGCGGGGAGUGAGGAGAGCGAGGAGAGGGAGGGGGAAGAUGCGUGAGGAGGAGGACAAGGCGGUGGCGCGGCAGCCAGAUCCGAGGCGCGUGGGCGCGGAGGCAGCCGCAGUGGGCUCCGGCCACUUCUUCACGCACAGCGGCAGGAGCAGCUCCACCUCUCCACUCCCCCAUGCGUGAGCCCUCCACAACCCCACCCACCACACCGAGGCGGUGUCCAGAGGCGGUCGGCGGUGGCGCAGGUUCUAAUAGAUGAGUGAUGACUAAUGGUUGAUGCAAAGGAGGAGGCGUACUGAUGGAAGCUGGCAGCAAAAUCAGGACCUCUCCGUCCUCGAGCCCUUCUUCUCCUCUCUCCGCGCCGUCUCGCCUCCCCUGCUCUCGCACCGCCACCUUCCCUGCCCAGCACUCGAGGCGCCAUGAUUUUGGAUCGGGCGAAUAUCUUCACCAGGAGAGUAGGAGCACUUGCUGUUAAUAUGAACGAUCUCUCACUAAGUUUUUGUUAUGGCGUUGUGUGCCGAUUCAUGAUUUAAACACGCAAAAUGUCUGGUUUGCAUAUUUUUGCCUAGCCCUAUUACUAGCAGUGUAUUUUUUGCCGUAAGAAAGACAACAAUGCUUUAUUUCUUUGACUUUUUGACCGUGUCUAAUUUCUGGUAAAAGAGAGGAAUUUCAGAGAGAUAGACAACCUGGAGAGCUUUGAAUGGUUGUUCGAGUGUGCCGCCAGUCUCCUCGCCGCCGCUGUUGCGUAGCUGGCACCGGUGUGUGGCGACUGCCGAGAUAAGCGCAGUUUACUCCAGGUUUGGUGAUGGUGUUGAACAACACCUUAACUGGGCCAAGGAAUUUAGUAGCAUUGUGGGAUCAUAAACCAGUUUUUCUGUUCUCUGUGCUCACAUAGUAAGAACAUGGUUGCAAGUUCUUUUCCUUAGGUGUAAUUUCUUUUGCUGAGAUAGAUUAAGCCUGGGUCGAGGUGGCUGCUGUGUGCCGGUUGCCAGUACUUGUUUGUUGUAAUGUCUUACCCAGUGAGAUUUCUUUUAUUCUUGCCUAUUUUCAGAGGUUCUGCUUGAAGAUUCUCUAAUCACUUUCUUUGGAACUUUUUGCUGAGAUAUGCUUCCAGGUUACUUCAAUGUUACCAGACUUAAAAUGUACUAUCUAGCAUACUAGCACGUGUGUAUAUGAUGCCUCCUUUUAUCCUUGAAUGUAAGACACAUGGUGUUUUGUUCCAUAGUUAUGCUUAACGGAAGUGAUAAUUUGUUAUCAUAUUCAAAACUAUAGCUCUUUGUUUGUAGUAUCUCGGAGGGAGCAAUAUUUUGAUACUUGCUUUAUAGGAAUUCUCUUUCUUUGCCUAGAAUUUGUGAUUUAUGGCUGAUGUCAAUUCCACCUUUGUAGGUGUUUCUCAAUUAUUACUAAUGUUGAAACUGUAGAGGAGCAGGAGAUGAGGAGGGCCCCACUUGGUGUACAAUGGUGAAUGAUGCGGCAGUUAGACCGGGAGAUGAGGAGCGCGGCACUGGGUGUACGAAGGAUUAGUAGGAAGAAUGUUAAUCACAGUGGGUGAAAAGGUAUACGAAAAUGCGAGCUCGGCUGAUUGCAUACUAUUUGGUUGAGUUGUUUUGUCCUAAAGAUACAAUCAAGAUGAAGAUUUCUUUUGUAUGGAAAUUCACCAUGGGAAUCGAAAUAAUGGUACUCUGCACAACCGUUACUUUCUUGCAUCGAUUCUUCAUUCUACAAGUCACACCUUUUCUAUUUGGUAAAAGAAGAGUGAGCUCAUGCUUGAACUUCCACUAUAUAUGUUAACACUUGGAUACUGUAUCAAUCCAGUAAUCAUCUGAUCCUUCAUUGUUUUCCCUUGCAUUGCCUCCUUUAACUCUUCUGGACCUUUGAAAAGAAUGAUUUUUCAGUUAUAUAAUGUAUUAUGUUUUGUUUCGUUGUCGAGAGGUAGAUGGUAAAGUAGGCUGGUAUUUUCAUUUUGUUCAUAUGCAGAUAUUUGAUAUAAGUGAAUAUAUACCCUUUGGUAGGUGAAUGUGCUCUCCGUUAAUAUCACUGAUAUAUUUGAGCUUCAGAGAAGGAUAUCUAUGCCAUUUUGUUUUUGUUUUUUGAACAAAAGAGUGUUGUAUGGGUAUCGUUAAGGGGAUGAAGCAGCAAAGUUACCUACGCAAUUUAGCAGGAUGUGGCUGAUACAUACAGAGUGGUUUACUUAGGUUUGGUGUUACUGCUAUCUCUUUCGUUGUAAAACUGCAGAGCAGCAGAGUUUAUAGAUUUAUGGAUCAUGCUUUUGGUGCCAGUAGUUUUGUAUGUAAGAUGUAGUUGUUGUGCAGCUCCAUGUGUCUGUGUGAUCUGAUGUAUAGAUAUAACAUAACAUUCUAAAAUUUAUAGUUAUUCUCUAUAUAUGAGAAAGCAUGAAAGAACUGUGUAUUAGGGGUAAAUAAUCUUUUCUGUUGUUUGAUAAAACAGUUAGGCGGCUACCCUGUCAUAUAUUUUGAUUCUCCUUUGACGAAAUUCCUAUCCUUGAAUGCCAUUUUCUCCAUGGUUUUUAUGUUUUAUGUUGUUCACUACAUGAUACUGAAUUAACAGUCACAUGAAAGUUUAGGGAACACUUUUCUAAGAGAAGCCUCUUCCCGCACAUGGAUGCUGAUCAUGAUGAGCUACCAAUCAGUACAGGAGACGGGACCACCAGUGUCAUGGCCCUCUUUAUCAAGGGCGCCGACAACAGGGCUACACUCACAAUGAACUGGAGCAGCUUCUUCCAUAAGGCAAACAUGAAGAAAGGGUGUACAUAUGCUUUCACCUUCAAGUGCACGUCCAAGGGCCUUUGCAUGAUUGUCUAUCCAAUCUAAGCAGGUCACAGUAGUCCUUUGCUACGUAACUUGGUAUUACUAUAAGUACCUAUUGAGACUUUUAUAUCUGGCAUCAUUUUGGAUCUUAUGUAAAAAAAUUAUGAUAAUCCUGUCCGUAUGACUAUCAUCAAUCCAUACUAAUUUUCAU
rnacentral:rRNA from 1 species